GACGAACGCUGGCGGCGCGCUUAACACAUGCAAGUCGAACGGAAAGGCCUGCUUUCCCUUGUGGAUUGCGGGUACGCGAGUGGCGAACGGGUGAGUAACACGUGAGUGAUCUGCCCCCAACUUGGGUAGAAGCCUGGGAAACUGGGUCUAAUUCCCGAUAGGACUGCAGGGUGGUGCCUGUGGUGGAAAACGAUUUUCUAGUGGCUGGGGAUGAGCUCGCGGCCUAGCAGCUUGUUGGUGGGGUAAUGGCCUACGAAGGCGGCGACGGGUAGCCGGGCGGGGAGGGUGGACGGCCACAUUGGGACUGGGAUACGGCCCAGACUGCUGCGGGAGGCAGCAGUGGGGAGUAAUGCACAAUGGGCGGACGCCUGAUGCAGCGACGCCGCGUGGGGGAUGACGGCCUUCGGGUUGUAAACUCCUUUCGACCGCGAGGAAGCCACCUGGUUGGAAGGGUGGUGACGGUAGUGGUAGAAGAAGCACCGGCUAACUACGUG
rnacentral:rRNA from 1 species